UAACAUUUCUAUGAGCGGGGCAGCUGUCCUGUUCUCAGGUCGCCUGCUGUGACCUUUCACAACACAAUAGAUCUGUUUCUGUCUCCACGCGAUGCGCGCAACCGCCGCGCCGACGAGGAGCGAGGAGGACCGGUAAGGACCGAGGAAGACCGAAGAAGAGCGAGGAGCGAGAAGCAGCGGCCGUUGAGGAUCCCUGCCGUACUGAGGAGAUGCGCGUCGUGCGUCAGUGGGAAAUGCUCCAAUCACCCCGAACCAGCCCGAGGGCAUCACACGCGAGGCUUUCUGCAGAUUCAUCACCCGCUGACGUCCACUUGAUAACCGGCUGAUGUCCACUCGGUGACCCGCUGGUCUCAGCCGGCUCUUUCAGUGGGAGGUUAUUUGGUGAUGUCACGUGUCCCGCAGCAGUAGCCGGGUUCCAACACUUGUGUGUGGUAUCGGUCCCGGGUGUGAAGGGGAGUCUCUGGCGGCCAGACAGGGUACGAUCAGCAUCGAACAACCAUUACAGCAACCGAAGAAGAGCCGCAGAAUAGCAACGGGAUCGUUUUCCAAUCCAAUGUGACCAAACACAAAGUCUUAACUGUAUUGGUGUCUUGUUCUGUUUUUACUCCAGAGAUAGUUAGGCUCUGCAUCCGAUAAAGAAAAUAAAACAUUCUGGUUCUGAGCUCUUGUAUUUCUGAAUCCAGUUGAGGUCAUUUCUCAGCUCCUCUGUUAAAAAUUUGAUCGUCCAUUAAUGGCUCUUGAAGGUCAGGCUUUGAGCUGUUGCACCUCUCGUGUGACUCAUUUUUUAUCUUAACAGCAACCAGAAUGAUGACGUUAGCCGAAAGAGAGUUUGCCUCGGAGUAAUUAUUGCACGG
ensembl:lncRNA